rnacentral:rRNA from 1 species
UGGCGGUGUGCCUAAUACAUGCAAGUCGAACGGUGACGAUUUUGUAGCAAUACGAAUGAAAUCAUAGUGGCGAACGGGUGAGUAACGCGUUGGUGAUCUGCCUCGAAGUGUGGAAUAACUUCCCGAAAGGGUAGCUAAUACCGCAUAGUCUCUCAAGGUUUAGAAAAUUGAGAGUAAAGGAUUUAUUCGCUUCGAGAGGAGCCUGCGUCCCAUCAGCUAGUUGGUAGGGUAAUAGCCUACCAAGGCAAUGACGGGUAGGGGACCUGAGAGGGUGGCCCCCCACAAUGGAACUGAAACACGGUCCAUACACCUACGGGUGGCAGCAGUAGGGAAUAUUAGAAAUGGGCGAAAGCCUGAUCUAGCAACACCGCGUGUGCGAUGAAGGCCUUCGGGUUGUAAAGCACUUUUUGGAGGGAAUAGGAAGGAAGGUACCUCCAGAAUAAGUCUCGGCUAACUACGUGCCAGCAGCCGCGGUAACACGUAGGAGGCAAACGUUAUCCGGAUUCACUGGGCGUAAAGCGCGUGUAGGUGGUUCUGUAAGUAGGGCGUGAAAGCUCCCGGCUCAACUGGGAGAGGCCGUACUAAACUGCAGAGCUAGAGGAUGGUAGAGGGAGGUGGAAUUCCAGGUGUAGUGGUGAAAUGCGCAGAUAUCUGGAGGAACACCAGUGGCGAAGGCGGCCUCCUGGACCAUUCCUGACACUCAGACGCGAAAGCUAGGGUAGCAAACGAAAGUCUUGACUCCGGUAGUCCUAGCCCUNNNCGACCUAAUAAGGCGUCGGCGGUUUAAUUCACCCGUCGGUGUCCGGAGCUAACCCGAUAAGUCUGCCGCCUGAGGACUCCGGCCGCAAGGCUAAAAACUCAAAGGAAUUGACGGGUCCCCGCACAAGCAGCGGAGCGUGUGGUUUAAUUCGAUGCUCCGCGAAGAACCUUACCUGGGUUUGACAUAACAGUGGUAGAGAAGUGAAAACGGAUCGACCCUUCGGGGGGCUGUUACAGGUGUUGCAUGCCUGUCGUCAGCUCGUGUCGUGAGAUGUUCGGUUAAGUCCGCUAACGAGCGCAACCCGCGCUGUGUGUUACAAGUGUCACACAGUACCGCCGGUAUUAAGUCGGAGGAAGGUGCGGAUGACGUCAAGUCAGCAUGACCUUUAUAUCCAGGGCUACACACACGCUACAAUGGUCAGAACAAUAGGUUGCCAAGCCGCAAGGCGGAGCCAAUCCUCCAAAUCUGGCCUCAGUUCAGAUUGCAGGCUGCAACUCGCCUGCAUGAAGUCGGAGUUGCUAGUAACCGCAGGUCAGCAUACUGCGGUGAAUACGUUCCCGGGGAUUGCACACACCGCCCGUCAAG